UACGUAGGCAGCAAGCGUUGUUCGGAGUUACUGGGCGUAAAGGGUGUGUAGGCGGUUCCUUAAGUUUGCUGUGAAAUCUCCCGGCUUAACCGGGAGGGUGCGGUGAAUACUGAGGGACUAGAGUACGGGAGAGGAAAGUGGAAUUCCUGGUGUAGCGGUGAAAUGCGUAGAUAUCUGGAGGAAUACCGGUGGCGAAGGCGACAUCCUGGACCGGUAUUGACGCUGAGGCGCGAAAGCCAGGGGAGCAAACGGG
rnacentral:rRNA from 1 species